AUUGAACGCUGGCGGCGUGCUUAACACAUGCAAGUCGAUCGGUAACAGGUGUAGCAAUACAUGCUGACGAGAGGCGGACGGGUGAGUAAAGCAUCGGAACGUGCCCUGGAGUGGGGGAUAACGUAGCGAAAGUUACGCUAAUACCGCAUAUUCUGUGAGCAGGAAAGCAGGGGAUCGCAAGACCUUGCGCUCUGGGAGCGGCCGAUGUCGGAUUAGCUAGUUGGUGGGGUAAAGGCCUACCAAGGCGACGAUCCGUAGCGGGUCUGAGAGGAUGAUCCGCCACACUGGGACUGAGACACGGCCCAGACACCUACGGGUGGCAG
rnacentral:rRNA from 1 species